AAAAGAAAAGAAAAGAAAAGAAAACUGAGGCUAAAGAAGUCAUCCAUCCCAGGCUCUCAGGUGGGCAGUGGUGAGGCUGAGCUGCCCUCCCGGAACUAACACCCACCACAGAGAUUGCUGCUUUAAGACUUAACUCACAACCAACCUGUCUUUUACUUUUUUUUCACGGAGCACAUUUUUGUAGAAAGAACGUGUUGGCUUGGCUCCGACCCCAACCCAGAGGCUCACAUGUUCGAAGGCUUGUACCCGAGCUGAUUCGGUCACUGAGAGGACCCUUCUCUGUCCCACUUCCUGGUCGUCAUGAAGUCAAAAGCCCUGCUCCCCGCACCCUUCACCAUCACGCUCUGCCUCAUCAGAGCCCAGAAACAAUGAGGCCAAAAGACUGCGGACUGAAGCCUCUGAACAGUGAACCAAGCUUUUUUCCAGACUUACAUUAUAUGUGACGUGAAAUGUGUUUCUUUCUAAUAAUGUCUGGACUGAAGAACCAAGUUUGCCACGUGGAGAUCUCAUCUCAGAGUUGUAAAGUCCUGCCUGAGUGUCCCUGAAACAAGUUUUUCCCUACUAAAAAAAGAAUGCCUCAAAAGUCAACACCUUUCUGGAAGCUCCACCCUACGCCCGGGAGGCACAAGCCUUCAAGCCACCCACGUGGACCUCAGAGCUGUCUCUAGGCGGUUCUCCUUCUAACGAGGCCAGGAAACUUGGGAUUGAACGUGAUGGACGACUGUGUUUAAGUAAUAGAGCACUGUCAAAGUGUGCUAGUGCAACGUCUUCAACACUUGGGGGUCCCUGGGGAGCUAGCGAGUAUACAAGCAUCAAUCCAUCCGCCAGAGCUGAGCACGGUUAGGCGCGUCUUGAACUCCUGGAGAAUGGAUGAGCCAAGUAAGACUUUGCACAUCGGCCCACAGCUCGGGGAACUACCGGCUUCAGGGGCCUUGGACCGCACUUCGGGGUUGGCGGGGGAAGGACAGGUAGGAAGACGCCUGGG